AUGAACGCUGGCGGCGUGCCUAAUACAUGCAAGUCGAGCGAACGGACGAGAAGCGUGCUUCUCUGAUGUUAGCGGCGGACGGGUGAGUAACACGUGGAUAACCUACCUAUAAGACUGGGAUAACUUCGGGAAACCGGAGCUAAUACCGGAUAAUAUUUUGAACCGCAUGGUUCAAAAGUGAAAGACGGUCUUGCUGUCACUUAUAGAUGGAUCCGCGCUGCAUUAGCUAGUUGGUAAGGUAACGGCUUACCAAGGCAACGAUGCAUAGCCGACCUGAGAGGGUGAUCGGCCACACUGGAACUGAGACACGGUCCAGACUCCUACGGGAGGCAGCAGUAGGGAAUCUUCCGCAAUGGGCGAAAGCCUGACGGAGCAACGCCGCGUGAGUGAUGAAGGUCUUCGGAUCGUAAAACUCUGUUAUUAGGGAAGAACAUAUGUGUAAGUAACUGUGCACAUCUUGACGGUACCUAAUCAGAAAGCCACGGCUAACUACGUG
rnacentral:rRNA from 1 species